UUAAGCGACUAAGCGUACACGGUGGAUGCCCUGGCAGUCAGAGGCGAUGAAGGACGUGCUAAUCUGCGAUAAGCGUCGGUAAGGUGAUAUGAACCGUUAUAACCGGCGAUUUCCGAAUGGGGAAACCCAGUGUGAUUCGUCACACUAUCAUUAACUGAAUCCAUAGGUUAAUGAGGCGAACCGGGGGAACUGAAACAUCUAAGUACCCCGAGGAAAAGAAAUCAACCGAGAUUCCCCCAGUAGCGGCGAGCGAACGGGGAGCAGCCCAGAGCCUGAAUCAGUGUGUGUGUUAGUGGAAGCGUCUGGAAAGGCGCGCGAUACAGGGUGACAGCCCCGUACACAAAAAUGCACAUACUGUGAGCUCGAUGAGUAGGGCGGGACACGUGGUAUCCUGUCUGAAUAUGGGGGGACCAUCCUCCAAGGCUAAAUACUCCUGACUGACCGAUAGUGAACCAGUACCGUGAGGGAAAGGCGAAAAGAACCCCGGCGAGGGGAGUGAAAAAGAACCUGAAACCGUGUACGUACAAGCAGUGGGAGCACGCUUAGGCGUGUGACUGCGUACCUUUUGUAUAAUGGGUCAGCGACUUAUAUUCUGUAGCAAGGUUAACCGAAUAGGGGAGCCGAAGGGAAACCGAGUCUUAACUGGGCGUUAAGUUGCAGGGUAUAGACCCGAAACCCGGUGAUCUAGCCAUGGGCAGGUUGAAGGUUGGGUAACACUAACUGGAGGACCGAACCGACUAAUGUUGAAAAAUUAGCGGAUGACUUGUGGCUGGGGGUGAAAGGCCAAUCAAACCGGGAGAUAGCUGGUUCUCCCCGAAAGCUAUUUAGGUAGCGCCUCGUGAAUUCAUCUCCGGGGGUAGAGCACUGUUUCGGCAAGGGGGUCAUCCCGACUUACCAACCCGAUGCAAACUGCGAAUACCGGAGAAUGUUAUCACGGGAGACACACGGCGGGUGCUAACGUCCGUCGUGAAGAGGGAAACAACCCAGACCGCCAGCUAAGGUCCCAAAGUCAUGGUUAAGUGGGAAACGAUGUGGGAAGGCCCAGACAGCCAGGAUGUUGGCUUAGAAGCAGCCAUCAUUUAAAGAAAGCGUAAUAGCUCACUGGUCGAGUCGGCCUGCGCGGAAGAUGUAACGGGGCUAAACCAUGCACCGAAGCUGCGGCAGCGACGCUUAUGCGUUGUUGGGUAGGGGAGCGUUCUGUAAGCCUGCGAAGGUGUGCUGUGAGGCAUGCUGGAGGUAUCAGAAGUGCGAAUGCUGACAUAAGUAACGAUAAAGCGGGUGAAAAGCCCGCUCGCCGGAAGACCAAGGGUUCCUGUCCAACGUUAAUCGGGGCAGGGUGAGUCGACCCCUAAGGCGAGGCCGAAAGGCGUAGUCGAUGGGAAACAGGUUAAUAUUCCUGUACUUGGUGUUACUGCGAAGGGGGGACGGAGAAGGCUAUGUUGGCCGGGCGACGGUUGUCCCGGUUUAAGCGUGUAGGCUGGUUUUCCAGGCAAAUCCGGAAAAUCAAGGCUGAGGCGUGAUGACGAGGCACUACGGUGCUGAAGCAACAAAUGCCCUGCUUCCAGGAAAAGCCUCUAAGCAUCAGGUAACAUCAAAUCGUACCCCAAACCGACACAGGUGGUCAGGUAGAGAAUACCAAGGCGCUUGAGAGAACUCGGGUGAAGGAACUAGGCAAAAUGGUGCCGUAACUUCGGGAGAAGGCACGCUGAUAUGUAGGUGAAGUCCCUCGCGGAUGGAGCUGAAAUCAGUCGAAGAUACCAGCUGGCUGCAACUGUUUAUUAAAAACACAGCACUGUGCAAACACGAAAGUGGACGUAUACGGUGUGACGCCUGCCCGGUGCCGGAAGGUUAAUUGAUGGGGUUAGCGCAAGCGAAGCUCUUGAUCGAAGCCCCGGUAAACGGCGGCCGUAACUAUAACGGUCCUAAGGUAGCGAAAUUCCUUGUCGGGUAAGUUCCGACCUGCACGAAUGGCGUAAUGAUGGCCAGGCUGUCUCCACCCGAGACUCAGUGAAAUUGAACUCGCUGUGAAGAUGCAGUGUACCCGCGGCAAGACGGAAAGACCCCGUGAACCUUUACUAUAGCUUGACACUGAACAUUGAGCCUUGAUGUGUAGGAUAGGUGGGAGGCUUUGAAGUGUGGACGCCAGUCUGCAUGGAGCCGACCUUGAAAUACCACCCUUUAAUGUUUGAUGUUCUAAC
rnacentral:rRNA from 1 species